GAAAUUGAACUCGCUGUGAAGAUGCAGUGUACCCGCGGCAAGACGGAAAGACCCCGUGAACCUUUACUAUAGCUUGACACUGAACAUUGAGCCUUGAUGUGUAGGAUAGGUGGGAGGCUUUGAAGUGUGGACGCCAGUCUGCAUGGAGCCGACCUUGAAAUACCACCCUUUAAUGUUUGAUGUUCUAACGUGGACCCGUAAUCCGGGUUGCGGACAGUGUCUGGUGGGUAGUUUGACUGGGGCGGUCUCCUCCUAAAGAGUAACGGAGGAGCACGAAGGUUGGCUAAUCCUGGUCGGACAUCAGGAGGUUAGUGCAAUGGCAUAAGCCAGCUUGACUGCGAGCGUGACGGCGCGAGCAGGUGCGAAAGCAGGUCAUAGUGAUCCGGUGGUUCUGAAUGGAAGGGCCAUCGCUCAACGGAUAAAAGGUACUCCGGGGAUAACAGGCUGAUACCGCCCAAGAGUUCAUAUCGACGGCGGUGUUUGGCACCUCGAUGUCGGCUCAUCACAUCCUGGGGCUGAAGUAGGUCCCAAGGGUAUGGCUGUUCGCCAUUUAAAGUGGUACGCGAGCUGGGUUUAGAACGUCGUGAGACAGUUCGGUCCCUAUCUGCCGUGGGCGCUGGAGAACUGAGGGGGGCUGCUCCUAGUACGAGAGGACCGGAGUGGACGCAUCACUGGUGUUCGGGUUGUCAUGCCAAUGGCACUGCCCGGUAGCUAAAUGCGGAAGAGAUAAGUGCUGAAAGCAUCUAAGCACGAAACUUGCCCCGA
rnacentral:rRNA from 1 species